AUGAAGAGCCAGAAAUUUCUGAAAAUUCGCGUUAAAACAUCACAGGGAAGAGCUGCUGACAAUGAAAACUCAGACCUCAUCUCUAGUUCUAAAGAAAAAGAAGUUGAAUCUGAAUCGCGGAGACGCAGAGCCCCAAAGCGGAAAUCUCGAAGCUUAUCUAAAUCAAACAGUUUGGAAGAACAGAAUCAUGUUAAUGAGUCAGAAAUACUGAAAGUAGUCACGGCUGAGGCAAAUGAAGAGCUUGAGCAAACUGGAAAUGUUGAAUGUAAUUCAAAGUUGGAUACCAGUGAUUCAGAAAAUCAGGGAAUUGCAAAUAAAGAACCUGCAGUUUCUAAAGAGCCACGUAAAAUAUUAAAAAAUAAGAAUGCUCCAACUGUAGACUCAGGCUCAAACUCAACACCAAAGCAGGGUAAAAUCAGAUCAAGAUUAGGUAAACGCAAAGCUCUGAAGCAAAAUUCUGGCAGUCCAUCCAACGCAAAGAAUAUCGAAGGAGCCAAUCAGAUGAGCGACAGUUCAAAAGCCCUUACAGAAGCUGUUAUUUUAGCAAAUGAAGAGCCAGUGCACAACGAAGAUCCUGAAGAGAACUGCGGUGAAGAUACUCAAAACAUGCAAGAUAUCCAACCAGGUCCCAGCCAGCUGCCUGAAGAGUCUAGUAAAGCAACCCAGAAGGGAGCCAAGUCAGGAAAGCGCAAGCCUAACAGUAAGAAAAGUCCCAAUCCGAAACGCAAGAAGAAGCUCAAAAAAUGUAAAAAUUAUGAUUUCCUAGCUGAACUUUUGGAAUUUGAAGAUAUCCCAUUAAGUGUGAAACUCAUUUUGCAAAAGGAUGAUGCUCUGGAAGUUCUGAGUGGAGAAGAAAUCGACACUAUUUUUGAGAAUCUCUCAGAAACCGUCAAAGCUGCAGCCGAGCUCAUCUUCGAGAACCUGAAAAAUGAAGUUGCUCUGAAAUGGUUGAAAGCAGUUUCUCAGUUAGGUGUGUGCAUUAUUGAGAAUCUACCAGCUGAUGAGCCAAUCAAAGAGUCUAUCUCUCAUGUAGCGACUUUGCUUGGACUUCUUCUGAAGUUGGAUUUGGAUUCAGAUGUAAGUAAUCACAGUUUUAAGAUUUCUUUUUUAGUUUUUUUGGGCGGGUCUAAAUUUGUCGGUGAUUUUACCACACAGAAACAGUAUGAUACUUACCUUCAUUUAAAAAGUACAAAUUUUCGAAAGGUGGUGUGGAAGUUAGGACAAUUUACGAAAUUUCUGUGAGAGUAUACAUACAUACUGACGUAUGGUAUUUUCACAAUGAACUGCUGGAAUGUAUAAUUUCUCUACAUGGUUCAUUUUAUUACGUUCCUAGAAAAUCUCAACUCAAUUGAUCACUUGCGCAAGUGAGAGGACCUCAGUAUGGACUUUCCAAAUGGGAAGCCAGCUUGUGUUAGUAUAAUAGUAGCGCAUUUUCUACCAAAUUGAGAUAAAAUUGCGUGCAUUUUGUUCGUGGUGUCUGCAGUGAAAAUCAGACAAUUUCCAGGUAAAUUUUUGGAACUUCUUGGCUUUGUUUUCCCCGCGAACUGGUGUGGACCCAGCACCAUUUCUCUACCUUGUUACAUACAGUUCGGGCCACUUCUUAGUGUUUUUUUUUUUCAUUUGCAGGUAAACUGUAAUACUUAAAAAGUCAUUAUGGUGCACUUAUUGAGAAAAAAGGUUUUUUAAAUAAGGAGGCUAAGGACUUUCUGUAUUC
rnacentral:lncRNA from 1 species